UUUAUGGAGAGUUUGAUCCUGGCUCAGGAUGAACGCUGGCGGCGUGCCUAAUACAUGCAAGUCGAGCGAACGGACGAGAAGCUUGCUUCUCUGAUGUUAGCGGCGGACGGGUGAGUAACACGUGGAUAACCUACCUAUAAGACUGGGAUAACUUCGGGAAACCGGAGCUAAUACCGGAUAAUAUUUUGAACCGCAUGGUUCAAAAGUGAAAGACGGUCUUGCUGUCACUUAUAGAUGGAUCCGCGCUGCAUUAGCUAGUUGGUAAGGUAACGGCUUACCAAGGCAACGAUGCAUAGCCGACCUGAGAGGGUGAUCGGCCACACUGGAACUGAGACACGGUCCAGACUCCUACGGGAGGCAGCAGUAGGGAAUCUUCCGCAAUGGGCGAAAGCCUGACGGAGCAACGCCGCGUGAGUGAUGAAGGUCUUCGGAUCGUAAAACUCUGUUAUUAGGGAAGAACAUAUGUGUAAGUAACUGUGCACAUCUUGACGGUACCUAAUCAGAAAGCCACGGCUAACUACGUGCCAGCAGCCGCGGUAAUACGUAGGUGGCAAGCGUUAUCCGGAAUUAUUGGGCGUAAAGCGCGCGUAGGCGGUUUUUUAAGUCUGAUGUGAAAGCCCACGGCUCAACCGUGGAGGGUCAUUGGAAACUGGAAAACUUGAGUGCAGAAGAGGAAAGUGGAAUUCCAUGUGUAGCGGUGAAAUGCGCAGAGAUAUGGAGGAACACCAGUGGCGAAGGCGACUUUCUGGUCUGUAACUGACGCUGAUGUGCGAAAGCGUGGGGAUCAAACAGGAUUAGAUACCCUGGUAGUCCACGCCGUAAACGAUGAGUGCUAAGUGUUAGGGGGUUUCCGCCCCUUAGUGCUGCAGCUAACGCAUUAAGCACUCCGCCUGGGGAGUACGACCGCAAGGUUGAAACUCAAAGGAAUUGACGGGGACCCGCACAAGCGGUGGAGCAUGUGGUUUAAUUCGAAGCAACGCGAAGAACCUUACCAAAUCUUGACAUCCUUUGACAACUCUAGAGAUAGAGCCUUCCCCUUCGGGGGGGCAAAGUGACAGGUGGUGCAUGGUUGUCGUCAGCUCGUGUCGUGAGAUGUUGGGUUAAGUCCCGCAACGAGCGCAACCCUUAAGCUUAGUUGCCAUCAUUAAGUUGGGCACUCUAAGUUGACUGCCGGUGACAAACCGGAGGAAGGUGGGGAUGACGUCAAAUCAUCAUGCCCCUUAUGAUUUGGGCUACACACGUGCUACAAUGGACAAUACAAAGGGCAGCGAAACCGCGAGGUCAAGCAAAUCCCAUAAAGUUGUUCUCAGUUCGGAUUGUAGUCUGCAACUCGACUACAUGAAGCUGGAAUCGCUAGUAAUCGUAGAUCAGCAUGCUACGGUGAAUACGUUCCCGGGUCUUGUACACACCGCCCGUCACACCACGAGAGUUUGUAACACCCGAAGCCGGUGGAGUAACCUUUUAGGAGCUAGCCGUCGAAGGUGGGACAAAUGAUUGGGGUGAAGUCGUAACAAGGUAGCCGUAUCGGAAGGUGCGGCUGGAUCACCUCCUUUCU
rnacentral:rRNA from 1 species